rnacentral:tRNA from 1 species
GCCGAGGUGGCGAAAUGGCAAACGCGGCGGACUUAAAAUCCGCUUCCCGGAAGGGAGUGUGGGUUCGAAUCCCUCCCUCGGCA